GUCUUCAGGGACGAAUAAUGACGGUACCUGAGGAGGAAGGCACGGCUAAACUACGUGCCAGCAGCCGCGGUAAUACGUAGGUGGCAAGCGUUGUCCGGAUUUACUGGGCGUAAAGGGAGCGUAGGUGGAUAUUUAAGUGGGAUGUGAAAUACUCGGGCUUAACCUGGGUGCUGCAUUCCAAACUGGAUAUCUAGAGUGCAGGAGAGGAAAGUAGAAUUCCUAGUGUAGCGGUGAAAUGCGUAGAGAUUAGGAAGAAUACCAGUGGCGAAGGCGACUUUCUGGACUGUAACUGACACUGAGG
rnacentral:rRNA from 1 species